rnacentral:rRNA from 1 species
CGAAUGGCUCAUUAAAUCAGUUAUCGUUUAUUUGAUAGUACCUUACUACUUGGAUAACCGUGGUAAUUCUAGAGCUAAUACAUGCUAAAAACCCCGACUUCGGGAGGGGUGUAUUUAUUAGAUAAAAAACCAAUGCCCUUCGGGGCUCUUUGGUGAUUCAUGAUAACUUAACGGAUCGCAUGGCCUUGCGCCGGCGACGGUUCAUUCAAAUUUCUGCCCUAUCAACUUUCGAUGGUAAGGUAUUGGCUUACCAUGGUUUCAACGGGUAACGGGGAAUUAGGGUUCGAUUCCGGAGAGGGAGCCUGAGAAACGGCUACCACAUCCAAGGAAGGCAGCAGGCGCGCAAAUUACCCAAUCCCGACUCGGGGAGGUAGUGACAAUAAAUACUGAUACAGGGCUCUUUUGGGUCUUGUAAUCGGAAUGAGUACAAUUUAAACCCCUUAACGAGGAACAAUUGGAGGGCAAGUCUGGUGCCAGCAGCCGCGGUAAUUCCAGCUCCAAUAGCGUAUAUUAAAGUUGUUGCAGUUAAAAAGCUCGUAGUUGAACCUUGGGCCUGGCUGGCCGGUCCGCCUCACCGCGUGUACUGGUCCGGCCGGGCCUUUCCUUCUGGAGAGCCGCAUGCCCUUCACUGGGUGUGUCGGGGAACCAGGACUUUUACUUUGAAAAAAUUAGAGUGUUCAAAGCAGGCCUUUGCUCGAAUACGUUAGCAUGGAAUAAUAGAAUAGGACGUGCGGUCCUAUUUUGUUGGUUUCUAGGACCGCCGUAAUGAUUAAUAGGGAUAGUCGGGGGCAUCAGUAUUCAAUUGUCAGAGGUGAAAUUCUUGGAUUUAUUGAAGACUAACUACUGCGAAAGCAUUUGCCAAGGAUGUUUUCAUUAAUCAGUGAACGAAAGUUAGGGGAUCGAAGACGAUCAGAUACCGUCGUAGUCUUAACCGUAAACUAUGCCGACUAGGGAUCGGGCGAUGUUUCUAUCUUGACUCGCUC